CUGUUUUGUGUUCGGUGCUUGAGGUGAGUGCAAUUAAAACCACAGGUCCUUGGUGAGGACCUGCUAAAGCAUGGGGUUGUAUGAGGUGCAUUA